rnacentral:rRNA from 1 species
UACGUAGGGCGCAAGCGUUAUCCGGAAUUAUUGGGCGUAAAGAGCUCGUAGGCGGUCUGUCGCGUCGGAUGUGAAAACCCAGGGCUCAACCCUGGGCCUGCAUUCGAUACGGGCAGACUAGAGUACGGCAGGGGAGACUGGAAUUCCUGGUGUAGCGGUGAAAUGCGCAGAUAUCAGGAGGAACACCGGUGGCGAAGGCGGGUCUCUGGGCCGAAACUGACGCUGAGGAGCGAAAGCGUGGGGAGCGAACAGG